UACGAAGGGAGCUAGCGUUGUUCGGAAUCACUGGGCGUAAAGCGCACGUAGGCGGCUUUGCCAGUCAGGGGUGAAAUCCCGGGGCUCAACCUCGGAACUGCCUUUGAUACAGCAAGUCUUGAGUUCGAGAGAGGUGGGUGGAAUUCCUAGUGUAGAGGUGAAAUUCGUAGAUAUUAGGAAGAACACCAGUGGCGAAGGCGGCUCACUGGCCCGGUACUGACGCUGAGGCGCGAAAGCGUGGGGAGCAAACAGG
rnacentral:rRNA from 1 species